UUAAAAUUUUAUUCUAGUUUAAUUUUUAUAUUUUUUUAUGAUUUUAAAUGUAAAUUUUAGUGAGUUUAAAUGUUUUAAAAAAUGAGUUAAUUACUCGCAUUAAUAAAUUUUAAAUAUAAAGUAAUUUUUGAUUUGGUAAUAAUUAUAGUAUAAACUAAUUUUGUGCCAGCAGUUGCGGUUACACUAAAUAUGCAAUAUAAAAUUUUUGGAUUUAUUUAAUUUUAUGAAUUAAUUUGUUUUAAUAAAUAUUAAGUGAAAUUUUAUUUAUUUAAAGGUUUUUAAAAUUGUUUUUGAUUAUAAGAAAGUUAGGCUUUAAACUAGGAUUAGAUACCCUAUUAUUCUAACAGUAAUUUAAUAUCCAAAGGAUUUUUAGUUAUGUUCUUUAAAUUUAAAGAUUUUGGCGGUAUUUUAGUCUUUUCAGAGGAACCUGUUCUGUAAUUGAUAAUCCACGAUUAGUUGAAUUUUAUUUAGAAAUUUGUAUAUCGUUGUAGUUGAAUAUUUUAUAAGAAUUUAAUGUUCAUUUUUUAAAUUUUAAGUUAAAUCAGAUCAAGGUGCAGUUUAUAAUAAAAUAGAAAUGGGUUACAAUAAAUUUAUUUUUGGAUUUAAAAUUUAAUAUUUUGAUAAAAUUGGAUUUGAAAGUAAUUAUAUAUAUAUAUAUAUAAUGAUUAAGCUCUAAAAUAUGUACAUAUCGCCCGUCGCUUUCAUUAGAAUGAAACAAGUCGUAACAAAGUAGGUUUACCGGAAGGUGAACCUGGAAUACA
rnacentral:ncRNA from 1 species